rnacentral:rRNA from 1 species
GACGAACGCUGGCGGCGUGCCUAAUACAUGCCAGUAGAACGCUGAAGGAGGAGCUUGCUCUUCUGGAUGAGUUGCGAACGGGUGAGUAACGCGUAGGUAACCUGCCUGGUAGCGGGGGAUAACUAUUGGAAACGAUAGCUAAUACCGCAUAACAUAGAAGGUUGAAUAACAUUUCCUAAAAAGUUGCAUUUGCUUCCCAACCAGAUGAACCUGCGUUGUAUUGGCUAGUGGGUGGGGUAACGGCUAACCAAGGCGCCGAUACAUAGCCGACCUGAGAGGGUGAUCGGCCACACUGGGACUGAGACACGGCCCAGACUCCUACGGGAGGCAGCAGUAGGGAAUCUUCGGCAAUGGACGGAAGUCUGACCGAGCAACGCCGCGUGAGUGAAGAAGGUUUUCGGAUCGUAAAGCUCUGUUGUAAGAGAAGAACGAGUGUGAGAGUGGAAAGUUCACACUGUGACGGUAUCUUACCAGAAAGGGACGGCUAACUACGUG